GUUUUGGAGUGCAGGCGUGAAUAGUCCUUUCUGUCCUGCUUUGAGUACUGCUGUUGGGUGCCUUGGGGGGACCUUAAGGGAGCUCGGAAGUUGAGACGUGGUGAGUGCGAGAUCACUGCCCACAAAGGGGAGGAGCAGGCGGAUGAACAGCCAGAGCUGCAAUGGUGGAUCCUCCUCCAGGGCUGCAUGGGACGACAGAUAGAUGAGGCUCUAGGACGGGCACAAAUGCUACCCGAAUGCAAACCACUCCGGAGAUCUGUAAAAGGACUGGCCCCGGACAGGAAGCACACUUUAAACUAGAGGCGGGAGUCAAAGCCCCGGUGAAGAUUCUGUGACGGUUCAUUGUAUAAUUUAUGAUGAUGAAGAUUGAGUUGCAUUUUGCGGAAAAGAGAUGUUGAGAUAUCUAAGGCAUUGAGAAAUCUGUCAUGCAGACAUGCACACAGGGAGAGGGAGUACCCAAACUGAUGAGAACUUACAGGAAUUGGACCAUCUAAGCCCUUAGAAAGUGAAGUCCACUGUGUCUCAAACAAAGAUCUUCAUCCACAUCUUGAAGUUUGAAGUUUGGCCAAGAAUAUACAAAAUAGAUUCUCUUUCUCAGGAUGGCAAGUGUUCAUGACAUCAAUACUACCCAAGGCUUCAGAGUCAUUGGAUUGCAGGUGUCUCUAUGGUUUCAAUUCAGCACUAUUCCAUCCAUCUUUUGGCAGAGUCAGAGCCCCGGUGAAGAUUCUGUGAGAGUUCAUUGUAUUGAAUUUAUGAUGAUGAAGAUUGAGUUGCAUUUUGCGGAAAAGAGAUGUUGAGAUACCUAAGGCAUUGAGAAAUCUGUCAUGCAGACAUGCACACAGGGAGAGGGAGUACCCAAAAUGAUGAGAAGUUACAGGAAUUGGACCAUCUAAGCCCUUAGAAAGUGAAGUCCACUGUGUCUCAAACAAAGGAUGCAGUGACUUAUGAUGAUGUGAGUGUGAACUUCACUGAGGAAGAGUGGGAUUUGCUGGAUCCUUCCCAGAAAAGUCUCUAUGAAGAGGUGAUGCUGGAGACCUACCAGAACAUCACUGCUAUAGGUAAGUGAAUUUCCUCUUGCUUUUCUGAAUAAGGG
rnacentral:lncRNA from 1 species